UUUACAUUUGUCUGCGAUCGGAUGUAGAUUGUUGUUCGUUUAUAUGUUUUAUGUUUAUUGGAAAAGGUGCGAGAUUUUGUGAGGAUUUAAUUACUUGGAUAUAUAGCAAAAUGGUUGUGGAUAAUUCAAAGAAUUUUACUGUAGAAAUAAUGUUUACAAAGGAAAGUAACGUCUUAUACUGCUAGUUAUAAGACCUUGGAGAAAUGAUAUGGACUAAGAUAAAAGUCAUGGAGAUAAAAUUGCACAUUUGGAUGCACUCACAGAAAAUGUGGUCACUUAUGCGGAGUUGCAAGACAAAGUCGUGAGAUGCG